rnacentral:rRNA from 1 species
GCUCCUACGGGGCGCAGCAGUGGGGGAUAUUGCACAAUGGGGGGAACCCUGAUGCAGCGACGCCGCGUGGGUGAAGAAGCGCCUCGGCGCGUAAAGCCCUGUCAGCAGGGAAGAAAAUGACGGUACCUGAAGAAGAAGCCCCGGCUAACUACGUGCCAGCAGCCGCGGUAGUACGUAGGGGGCAAGCGUUAUCCAGAUUUACUGGGUGUAAAGGGAGCGUAGACGGCUGUGCAAGUCUGAAGUGAAAUGCCGGGGCCCAACCCCGGAACUGCUUUGGAAACUGUACAGCUAGAGUGCAGGAGGGG